GAUGAAGAACGUAGCGAAAUGCGAUACGUAGUGUGAAUUGCAGAAUUCAGUGAAUCAUCGAAUCUUUGAACGCACAUUGCACCUCUCGGUAUUCCGGGAGGUAUGCCUGUUCGAGCGUCAUUUGUACCCUCAAGCUCUGCUUGGUGUUGGGUGUUUGUUCCGCCUCUGUGUGUGAACUCGCCUCAAAACAAUUGGCAGCCGGCGUACUUGUUUCGGAGCGCAGCACAUUUUGCGAUCCAGAUCAACGUACAGCGGCAUCCAAGAAGCCUUAUUUAACGCUCUUGACCUCGGAUCAGGUAGGGAUACCCGCUGAACUUCAGUAUAUCAAUAAGCGGAGGA
rnacentral:misc_RNA from 1 species